rnacentral:lncRNA from 1 species
UAAGUUUCACCCUUUUCCACUUUAUCUGUCUCAAGAUUCAAGAAAUUAGUGAUCGGUACCCGAGACCCAAAAUUCGAAUUCUAGUUGAUUCAUAUUUUUAGCUAAGUUUAUUUUUAAAUAAAAUAAACGAAGCGAAUAGCGUGUUAUCUAUCUCUCAAAAAAAAAAAAGAUUCAAGAAAUUAAAGGAAUUUUUUCUUAGGUCAAUUAUGUUAAGAUUAAUUUUGUAUUAUUUUUUUUGUUAGAUAAAAUUUUGUAUG